UAAGGUUUUGGUUUCGAUUUAGGAUUGAAUUUGAUUCCGCCGUGGCAAAGAAAGACUGCGGCGGGUCAGCGGCGAGCCAACGACAGUGAGGGUUGUCAUUGUCAGUGAGGAGCGAGCUACAUUCGAGAGAGAAGUUUUAGAGUAACGAGUGAGUGUGGCCUUUACACUUGGGGGAAAAAGAGGUUGAAAGACUAAUAAAGG
rnacentral:lncRNA from 1 species